rnacentral:rRNA from 1 species
UACGAAGGGGGCUAGCGUUGCUCGGAAUCACUGGGCGUAAAGCGCACGUAGGCGGCUUGUUAAGUCAGGGGUGAAAUCCUGGAGCUCAACUCCAGAACUGCCUUUGAUACCGGCGAGCUUGAGUUCGGGAGAGGUGAGUGGAACUGCGAGUGUAGAGGUGAAAUUCGUAGAUAUUCGGCAAGAACACCAGUGGCGAAGGCGGCUCACUGGCCCGAUACUGACGCUGACGGUGCG